UCAUGAAUAUGCAUGAUAAAUGACCAGGCAAAAUCUAAUUGCUAAAAUAGAGAGGACAAAUCCGAUACUCUACGGGAUUGAAAGACAUUUUCUAGGUUUGGAUUGUCCUAACCAAUCAACAAACUUUGAUUAUUCACGUCUCGUAAUAUCUUCGAAUCAGGUAGUAAGAGGCAUUCACGCACUGACUGUCCAUCGUUCAAUUCUUAAUAACGUCUCCGAGGAGAGGUUAAUAAUGCGUGCUAAUCUAUUGACAACACGGAAAACAGUCUUUUGUAUUUAAGAUAUGAGGAAAGGGGAAGUGGAUGGUUGUUGGGGAUGGAUGAUAGUAGCAGCCGCUGCCUUAAACAGAAUAGUGAUAUAUGGGAUAUCAUACUCAGCUUGUGUGGUUUAUGUUGUCAUCCUGGAAGUUUUUAACGAAGGGAGCGGGAUAACAUCAUGGCUAUCUUCACUCAUCACUGCCGUUUUAUUUUUCAUCUGAGUCAUGUUUGCUCAGCUCAGGCGGUCAACGAGAAAGAGGAAGAAUACACCAAUCGUGGCCACAGCUUCUACGAGAAAGAAGGUUAUUUAAAGGGUACCAUCUGCUAUAUCAGUACCUGUACCUUAUAUCGACUACCAAUUCAGCCAUCAUUUACCCAAUAUAUACACAGACAGGGUUAUAUACGAGUGCAAAUACUUUUCCAGCAACUUCAGUGAGCACAGCUGAUACCCUGUUAUACUCUUGCGUACCAGUUCAAAUUGGUGAACACAGAAACCAGUCAAGAUUCUCAAGAACAUUCAUUAGGUUAUAGUACUUCAGACUCUACAAUGCCAUUGAAUACAUUAAGUCAUCCUAUUCAAAUAACUAGAAUGCACAAUGAUAUAACUGUUUAUACUUCUCAUAGUAUCAGGGUUAAAUUUAUAAAGAGUGAAUAAAUACAA